UAUCCCCACGCUUUUUGAAAAAAAGGUGGGGAUAUUGUGGUGAUCUCCGCCGUCCGUCCGUCCGUCUGUCCGUCUGUCCGUCCGUCUGUCCGUCCGUCCUGGCCACUAUCUCCUCCUACACUAAAAGCACUAGAACCUUGAAAUUUACACACAUGGUAGCUAUGAGCAUAUGUGCGACGGUGCACUAUUUGGAAUUUUGAUCUGACCCCUGGGUCAAAAGUUAUAGGGGUUGGGGUGGGGCCGCGUCAGAAAUUAUCACUCAUUUUUUUAGGUUAUUUUACAUUUACUUCUUUAUUUCUACACCGAUUCACUUCAAAUUGAUACUGGACCUCACCUAUGACAAUACGGUCAAUCUCAACCAUGCAUGGCCCCAUUCCCAACCCUGGGGCGCCCCGCCCACAUAGGCCACACCCACCAAAAAUUUCCAUUUACUAUAAUUUUUUCAUUUCUACACGGAUUCACUUCAAAUUGAUACUGAACUUUUGUUAUGACAUUAGGGUCAAUCUCAACUAUGCAUGGCCCCAAUCCCAACCCUGGGGCGCCCGCCCACAUAGGCCACACCCACCAAAAAAAUCCAUUUACUAUAAAAAAAAUUUAGGUUAUUUUACAUUAACUUCUUCAUUUCUACACUGAUUCACUUCAAAUUGAUACUGAACCUCUCUUAUGACAAAACGGUCAAACUCAACUAUGCAUGGCCCCGUUGCCAACCCUGGGGCGCCACGCCCACAUAGACCACACCCGCCCAAAAUUGCCUUUUACUAUAAUUUCUUCAUUAAUACACUGAUUCACUUCAAAUUGAUACUGAACCUCUCUUAUGACAAUACGGUCAAUCUCAACUAUGCAUGGCCCCAUUACCAACCCUGGGGCACCCCGCCCACAUAGGCCACACCCUCCCAAAAUUGCCUUUUACUAUAACUUCUUUAUUUUUACACCCAUUCACUUCUAAUUGAUACUGAACUUCUCUUAUGACAAUACAGUCAAUCUCAACUAUGCAUGGCCCCAUGAUCAACCCUGGGGCGCCCUUGGGUCAAACAUUCGGCGUGGGGAUACGCGUCGGCCUCUGCCGCGCCAUUUCUAGUUUCUCAUUUGAGUUUGUUUGUAUUUUAAACAUUUAUAAAGUGUGUAUUUUCUAGCAGUGUGUAUAGAAAUUUUGAAAUUAAUGCAGAUUGUUCGACUAAAAAAAAGAUAUAAAAUCACUCUGUCAUAACAUAGGAUAUGGACUGCUUAAUUUUUCGUAUACAAUGUUUAUUCCCACUUCAUAUAUGAGCACUUUGCUUUAGUUUUUAACCAAUAUUAUAUGAAUUACUUCUUUGGUAUUUAAGCUAUUAAACAUUCCAGAUGAAUUAUAUUCGACGGGUUAUUGCGAUGUAUGUUGUUAAUUUAUAUUAUUUGUUGAAGAUGUUAAAUAAGAAAUAAAACUUAGUACAAACAUACACAA